CAGCAGUUGCCAUGACACUCAUGACAGAAGAGACAUUAAUUCAAGGUAUAACUUCAGAAAGAAUGACAAGUCAGAUAUUGCUGUACCAAGUACCAUUAACCCCCUUCAUGCAUGCCUGGCAAGUCUUAUCAGUUAGCAAUUCCCUCUCAGUACAGAUGAAAUCAAUAUUUCCACAAUGAAAGUUCCUGAAUUUCAAGACAGCUUCAGUCCUUGCAUGUUUUGUUUCAGAUUGAGCAACUCUUUUUCUUGCCUUGUUUUCUCCAAUUUGAAGGCCAUCUUGUUGGCUUUCUUCUCCAUUCUGCGUUCCUUCCGCUCCUCCUUUAUUGCCUGCUUCCUGGCUUUGCGGUCCUCUUUGCUCUCAUUUUUGGAUCGGGGCUGUGUCGAUGCUCUUGGCAGGUCUCUGUCAUUAAUCAUUUGCAUGCGUUCAACCUGCUUAGCAGUAAGACCUUUCUGAGGCAGGACGUGCAGAGGGAUUCCAGUCUUCGAGGAAAUCUUUAUUGGUUUUGGCUUUGAUGGCUCCUCGAUAAGCUUUGGGUGAUUAUAUAAGUUUGAAUACGUACUCAAAAUAGAUUCACAAUCCCACUUUUCUUUUGGUUCCUCAACAACCAGAGCUACUAUUUCUUCUUUUUCCUCAUCGCUGUCUUCAUUUGCAGGAGUGUCUUCAAACGGUUCAAGAGUAUCCAAUUUCACACAGUUCUUUGCUUUCUCUUUGUAGUAAUCACUCAAGACUUCCUCCAACCGAGUGUUGUCUGCGUUAAUAUAGCCUUCUAAUUCCACAUUAUCCAAGGCUCCAAUCUCAUCCUCAUCAAACUGUUCAAAAAACUUCUCAAAUCUGUCAUCCAAGAGGGUUAACUGCUCAUUCCUUCUCAUUACCGAAGAUGUCAUUGAAUAUUCCGUGAAACGACUCCUUGUUUCUUCCUGCAUAAACAGGAACUCCCUUCCAUGGCCAUUAACCCCAUCGUUUGACAAAGGGCCGUCUGAAUCGUAAUCUUCAUCAUUACUACAACUAUCCUUUUCAUCACUGUCAUCCUCCACGUCUUCCCAUUCAUCUUCAUCCUCAGCAUCUGAUCUCCCUUCUUUUGGUUUGUUUGCUUGUAGAACAAAAUCAUCUUCCAGAACAUUUUCUGGAUUAUCAAAGUCAAAAUCAUCAUCAAGAGCUGCAACAAUAUCAGGGUCAAAAUCCAGCCGUGGUCCUGAAACAGGGGCUGCUUUAUUUAGCAGGCCCACGUCCUCUUCAAAUUCAGUGGCAAAUACUGAGGAAGGCAACUUAAUAGAUGGAGCAGCAAUUCGUUGAAUUUCAUCCUCUAUGUGACCCUCACUUGUGAUGACAAUUCUGCUUUGCUGUCCACGGAAAGAAGGGACAAGCUCAGAGGGGCCAGAUGCUUCUUUCAAAUGCUGCAAAUAGUCAUAGUCAUCAUCAAAAAAGACUCCAUAUUUCCGCUGCUCCUCCCUUCUCUGCUCCUCAUGACCCCUCUGGGCAGGCAGCAGGACCCUCUGCGGGGCCGUGUCAUCAGCAGCAAGGGGGUCCUUCUGGCUUCUGUGCACUAAGUGAAACGUUACCGCCUUCUUCUUCUCUAUGAAGGGCUUCUUCUUCUUGUGAGGCAUGGCGUAAGCACAGCCCCCAGACCGCCACCUGCACGCACGCCCACACGGCCUGGCCCCACACGGAACAGCUGCGGCGUGCGUGCGGGGAGCAACCACUGGCCGCAGGGGGAUAUCAUGGAGCCG
rnacentral:lncRNA from 1 species